GGCCAAUUAGCUCAGCCAAUUUGAGCGUGGUGCUGAUAACACCAAGGUCCCGGGUUCAAUCCCCGUUUGGUCC
rnacentral:tRNA from 1 species